rnacentral:rRNA from 1 species
UACGUAGGUGGCAAGCGUUAUCCGGAUUUAUUGGGCGUAAAGGGAACGCAGGCGGUCUUUUAAGUCUGAUGUGAAAGCCUUCGGCUUCACCGGAGUAGUGCAUUGGAAACUGGGAGACUUGAGUGCAGAAGAGGAGAGUGGAACUCCAUGUGUAGCGGUGAAAUGCGUAGAUAUAUGGAAGAACACCAGUGGCGAAAGCGGCUCUCUGGUCUGUAACUGACGCUGAGGUUCGAAAGCGUGGGUAGCAAACAGG